rnacentral:rRNA from 1 species
CCUACGGGCGGCAGCAGUGAGGAAUAUUGGUCAAUGGACGAGAGUCUGAACCAGUCAAGUAGCGUGAAGGAUGACUGCCCUAUGGGUUGUAAACUUCUUUUAUAUGGGAAUAAAAUGUUCCACGUGUGGGAUUUUGUCUGUACCAUAUGAAUAAGGAUCGGCUAACUCCGUGCCAGCAGCCGCGGUAAUACGGAGGAUCCGAGCGUUAUCCGGAUUUAUUGGGUUUAAAGGGAGCGUAGGUGGAUUGUUAAGUCAGUUGUGAAAGUUUGCGGCGUAACCGUAAAAUUGCAGUUGAAACUGGCAGUCUUGAGUACAGUAGAGGUGGGCGGAAUUCGUGGUGUAGCGGUGAAAUGCUUAGAUAUCACGAAGAACUCCGAUUGCGAAGGCAGUUCACUGGACUGCAACUGACACUGAGGCUCGAAAGUGUGGGUAUCAAACAGGAUUAGAUACCCGGGUAGUC